rnacentral:rRNA from 1 species
GACGAACGCUGGCGGCGUGCCUAAUACAUGCAAGUAGAACGCUGAAGGAAGGAGCUUGCUCUUUCCGGAUGAGUUGCGAACGGGUGAGUAACGCGUAGGUAACCUGCCUGGUAGCGGGGGAUAACUAUUGGAAACGAUAGCUAAUACCGCAUAACAGUAGAUAUCGCACGAUAUGUGCUUGAAAGGUGCAAUUGCACCACUACCAGAUGGACCUGCGUUGUAUUAGCUAGUUGGUGAGGUAACGGCUCACUAAGGCAACGAUACAUAGCCGACCUGAGAGGGUGAUCGGCCACACUGGGACUGAGACACGGCCCAGACUCCUACGGGAGGCAGCAGUAGGGAAUCUUCGGCAAUGGACGGAAGUCUGACCGAGCAACGCCGCGUGAGUGAAGAAGGUUUUCGGAUCGUAAAGCUCUGUUGUAAGAGAAGAACGAGUGUGAGAGUGGAAAGUUCACACUGUGACG